AUUGGCAACAUUACUCCUACAAAACAUUCACAUGCCACACUUCUGUUUUAGCAGUGUGUUGUGUGGAAAUAUCAGUUAUAACACAAGUUAUAGCUGAUCACUUUUGUUGCCAAUAACAAUGCACUCACAUAGUACCACAUUCCUUGUUACAAUCGGGGUUGUGGCCUCCCACGAGUGCAACACUUU
rnacentral:snoRNA from 1 species